GUGCUUGCUUUGGCAACACAUAUAUUAAAGUAGGAAUGAUACAGAGAAGAUUAGCAUGACCCCUGUGCAAGGAUGACAUGCAAAUUCAUGAAGCAUUCCAUAUUUAA
ensembl:snRNA U6 U6 spliceosomal RNA